UGCCAGCAGCCGCGGUAAUACGGAGGGGGCUAGCGUUGUUCGGAAUUACUGGGCGUAAAGCGCACGUAGGCGGACUAUUAAGUCAGGGGUGAAAUCCCAGGGCUCAACCCUGGAACUGCCUUUGAUACUGGCAUUCUAGAGUUCGAGAGAGGUGAGUGGAAUUCCGAGUGUAGAGGUGAAAUCCGUAGAUAUUCGGAGGAACACCAGUGGCGAAGGCGGCUUUCUGGACCGAUACUGACGCUGAGACGCGAAAGCGUGGGGAGCAAACAGGAUUAGAUA
rnacentral:rRNA from 1 species